rnacentral:rRNA from 1 species
GUCCACGCCCUAAACGAUGCGAACUAGGUGUUGGGGAAGGAGACUUUCUUAGUACCGCAGCUAACGCGUGAAGUUCGCCGCCUGGGGAGUACGGUCGCAAGAUUAAAACUCAAAGGAAUUGACGGGGACCCGCACAAGCGGUGGAUGAUGUGGAUUAAUUCGAUGCAACGCGAAAACCUUACCUACCCUUGACAUGGCACUAACGAAGCAGAGAUGCAUUAGGUGCCCGAAAGGGAAGUGGACACAGGUGCUGCAUGGCUGUCGU